GAUGAACGCUGGCGGCGUGCCUAAUACAUGCAAGUCGAGCGAACAGAUGAGGAGCUUGCUCCUCUGACGUUAGCGGCGGACGGGUGAGUAACACGUGGAUAACCUACCUAUAAGACUGGGAUAACUGCGGGAAACCGGAGCUAAUACCGGAUAAUAUAUUGAACCGCAUGGUUCAAUAGUGAAAGACGGGUUUGCUGUCACUUAUAGAUGGAUCCGCGCCGCAUUAGCAAGUUGGUAAGGUAACGGCUUACCAAGGCGACGAUGGGUAGCCGACCUGAGAGGGUGAUCGCCCACACUGGAGCUGAGACGCGGUCCAGACUCCUACGGGAGGCAGCAGUAGGGAAUCUUCGGAGAUGGGCGAAAGCCUGCAGGAGCAACGCCGCGUGAGUGAUGAAGGUCUUCGGAUCGUAAAACUCUGUUCUUAGGGAAGAACAAAUGUGUAAGUAACUAUGCACGUCUUGACGGUACCUAAUCAGAAAGCCACGGCUAACUACGUG
rnacentral:rRNA from 1 species